UGCCUGUUCAAGGACACAACACUCCACUCAGAGCUCUCGUUCUCAACCCCUCUCUCUCUCUAUAAGCUUUACUCUCUCAAAGCUUCCUCAGAGUGGCAACUCUUCAAGACUGUACAAGGAACUGAAGUUACUGUACUACCCACUAUAGUUGGAGAAGUGGAGAUCACAUGCUGGGGUCCAUGUGAUGAAUCAUGGAAGGGAGUCCCAUGUUCUAAGUCCAUUAUUAUUUUCAUGUAUUGAAGGGCAGCUCCAUAAUCUCCAUAAUUUGAAGCAACUGAACAUCCAUGGUAACCAUUCUAGUGGCAUCAUCCCAAGACAAUUUCAGUCAACACCAAAUUUAUGGUUUUGGGGGAAUAGGUUCCAUCCAAGAGGCAACUUAUUCACCUUAGGAUUUCCCUUUGGAAACUGAGUCGAAUAUUAAUAGCCCACC